AUGACUUUGAUCUGCGUCCUCAUCUGGACUCUCCUCUGCUGCUGCUUCACAGAGUCCAGAGGACAGUACACAGUGACUCAGCCUGGAGCAGUGAGGUCUGCUCCGGGAGGCUCCGUCUCCAUCAGCUGUAGGACCAGUCAGGAUGUUUAUUCAACCUGUUUAGCCUGGUACCAACAGAGAGAUGGAGAAACUCAUAAACUGCUUAUUUACUUUGCUAGCACUCCUCAGUCAGGGACUCCAGAUCGUUUUACAGGCAGUGGAUCAAACUCUGACUUCACUCUGACCAUCAGUGGAGUUCAGACUGAAGAUGCAGCAGUUUACUACUGUCAGAGUUUUCACUAUCCCAACAGUCAGCGUGUGUUCACACAGUGA